rnacentral:rRNA from 1 species
GCUGGGUUCAGAACGUCGUGAGACAGUUCGGUCCCUAUCUGCCGUGGGCGUUGGAAAUUUGAGGGGGGCUGUCCCUAGUACGAGAGGACCGGGAUGGACGCACCUCUGGUGUUCCGGUUGUCACGCCAGUGGCACUGCCGGGUAGCUAUGUGCGGACGGGAUAACCGCUGAAAGCAUCUAAGCGGGAAGCCUUCCCCAAGAUUAGAUUUCCCCAGGGACUUGAUCCCUCUGAAGGGCCCUCGAAGACUACGAGGUUGAUAGGUCGGGUGUGUAAGCCCAGUAAUGGGUUCAGCUAACCGAUACUAAUUGCCCGUGCGGCUUGGCCAUAUAACACCCAAGCAG